rnacentral:lncRNA from 1 species
GUCGGGGGAAGCCCCUUCGGAUUGUCAAAGAUGGGGAUUCCCCCCACCCCGCGUCGGUGAAUCCAGGUGAAAUGAAGGGAAAGGCACCUUUGCCAUUUAUAACACCUUUCCUUACCUCGCAACACUCGCAAGCAAGUCCAGGUACUUUUCUCCAGCUUGGAAAUAGAUGCAGGAGAAUCAAAGCAGACUCAGUCACCUGACCAACCUCAUCAAGAAGGCAACAGAAAAAACACCAUUUCUGGUAUCGGACAAGGGAAGGCAACCUUGGAAGGCAGUGUUGAGUUGAAGAGUUUGGGCCAUUUGGAACUCCAUGAAGCUUUACAGGAGAAAGCCCAAAUUAAUUGUUUUCGAUUUCAU